rnacentral:rRNA from 1 species
AAUCAACGCUGGCGGCGUGCCUCAGACAUGCAAGUCGAACGAUUAAAGCUCUCUUCGGAGAGUGUAUAGAGUGGCGCACGGGUGAGUAACACGUAAGUAAUCUACCCUCGAGUGGGGAAUAACAACCGGAAACGGUUGCUAAUACCGCAUAAUGCAGCGGCACCGCAAGGUGACAGUUGUUAAAGAUUUAUCGCUUGAGGAGGAGCUUGCGGCAGAUUGGCUAGUUGGUAGGGUAACGGCUUACCAAGGCUACGAUCUGUAACCGGUCUAAGAGGACGGUCGGUCACACUGACACUGAAUAACGGGUCAGACUCCUACGGGAGGCAGCAGUCGGGAAUUUUGGGCAAUGGGCGAAAGCCUGACCCAGCAACGCCGCGUGAAGGAUGAAGUAUUUCGGUAUGUAAACUUCGAAAGAAUAGGAAGAAUUAAUGACGGUACUAUUUAUAAGGUCCGGCUAACUACGUGCCAGCAGCGCGGUAAUGUAUCGUACG